rnacentral:lncRNA from 1 species
CACAUAUAACCAUUUACAUAUCAUCACAAACAUGCCAAAAAGCACCAUAUAAUCCAAGUACUUAAAAAUGGCCAAAAUAACCAUUCCAAAACAUGUCACCAUACCAUAUACUAUUUAGAACCUAUAAAGUAUGUGUAGGAAGCCCGAUUUGCCCGGGGCCCAAUAACCAAAAUAAAACCAAUUAUUAAACCAAAAGUCCAAAGAAUAAAACCAAAUUAAUAGUCUAUCAUCAAAGUCCAAAUCUUUUAAACAAUCCAAUUUUAACCAGUCCAGGGCCCAAAAUUAUAACCUAAAUUACAAAUGGUCCAUAGCUCAAACCCAAUACAAGCCCAAAUAAACCUAGGCCUAAAAUUACAACGGCCCAAACGGCCCAAAAUACUUUAGAAACAGAAACCCUAGGGUUUCUACCUUUAACGCUGCAGCCAGGCUCCAGCCCACAGCGUCGUACGGACUCCUGGCACCACAGCCACGCCCACGCCUCCGUACGCCAAUGCACAACCCCGUACAUGUGCCACGCACACCCCGUACCUGCAAGCAAAUACAAAAACCACAGCACAGCAAAGAGGGAAAAAACAAAAAGAAAUUGUAUUUUUCUUUUCAUUUUUUUGUUUCGGCUAUAAAAGUCAUGUAGUGAUCAAUGUAUUUUUUUACGCACACUGAAAUACGCAUAUUGAAAUAGAAAGAAAAGCCACCGAUAUUGAAAGGUGAUUUCUGAUUCAAAUUUCUGAGAUUUCUUUUUCUUCUUUGCUCAGUUUCUUUCUUUCUGGAUCUUUUGUUCUUUCGCAUUUGAAUGUAUAAAAGAAAAAGGAAAUGAAACUUACCUUGUAAAUAUGCCAUGAGAUCUCUUCUGCUUCGUUGAAAUUGAGGUACGAGGGGAGAUGAAGGCAGAAAGAGAACCACUUUGAGACUUGAACAGGUUGAUUGUCUUUCAUUGUGGUGGAUUGACAUUGUAGAGGAAAGAUUAGGGUUCGGUUGAAGGAAAUGAAAUGGGGAGGCUAGGGUUUUAGUUCAGCCGAAUGGAAGCAUUGUUUAGCCAUUAUAAAGAACCAAAAACGACGUCGUUUUACCCAAUUUCAAUGGUUUAGAAAUGAUGCCGUAUUAACCAUACCCGACCCAAUCCGGUUCUUCGCCCCUGGGAUACGCGCGUUUCUGUGGAGAGGGGUAAUUACGCGCGAGGUCCUCUCUUUUUGUACGAUUGCUCAAUUGCGCCUAAUGCAUUUCACUUUAUUUCUUUUAAAAUUUGGCCUUUUAAUUUACAUUCGUUUGCAAUCAAGCCUGCGUCACAACGCAUCAUUUUGGAAUCCGGGGUAUUUCCUCGUUUGGUCCCUGAAAAUUCGCAUGUGUGACGCGCUAGUCCUUUUUUUAUUAUUUUUUAUUUUUAUGUCCUACCUUAUUUGUAAAUUAUACCUUUUAUUUUUAAUUAGUUGUAAUUGAG